rnacentral:rRNA from 1 species
UGAGUAAUACAUCGGAACGUGCCCUGUAGUGGGGGAUAACUAGUCGAAAGAUUAGCUAAUACCGCAUACGACCUGAGGGUGAAAGUGGGGGACCGCAAGGCCUCAUGCUAUAGGAGCGGCCGAUGUCUGAUUAGCUAGUUGGUGGGGUAAAGGCCCACCAAGGCGACGAUCAGUAGCUGGUCUGAGAGGACGAUCAGCCACACUGGGACUGAGACACG